UAGGGACAAGCGAAUAAGUGCACAUGGUGGAUGCCUUGGCGAUUACAGGCGAUGAAGGACGUAGUAGCUUGCGAUAAGCUGCGGGGAGUGAGCAAACACACUUUGAUCCGCAGAUUUCCGAAUGGGGCAACCCACCCUUUUAGGGUAUUGCAUACUGAAUACAUAGGUAUGCAAGGCGAACGCGGCGAACUGAAACAUCUAAGUAGCUGCAGGAAAAGAAAUCAACCGAGAUUCCCAAAGUAGCGGCGAGCGAAAUGGGAAGAGCCUGUACGUGAUAGUCGGACCGAUAACAGAAUCCUCUGGAAAUAGGAGCCAUAGCGGGUGAUAGCCCCGUAUGUGAAAUCGGACCGGUGGUACUAAGCGUACGACAAGUAGGGCGGGACACGUGACAUCCUGUCUGAAUAUGGGGGGACCAUCCUCCAAGGCUAAAUACUCGUAAUCGACCGAUAGUGAACCAGUACCGUGAGGGAAAGGCGAAAAGAACCCCGGAAGGGGAGUGAAAUAGAUCCUGAAACCGUGUGCAUACAAACAGUAGGAGCGGACUUGUUCCGUGACUGCGUACCUUUUGUAUAAUGGGUCAGCGACUUACAUUCAGUGGCAAGGUUAACCAUAUAGGGAAGCCGUAGAGAAAUCGAGUCCGAAUAGGGCGAUCAGUCGCUGGGUGUAGACCCGAAACCAAGUGAUCUACUCAUGGCCAGGAUGAAGGUGCGGUAACACGCCCUGGAGGUCCGAACCCACUAAUGUUGAAAAAUUAGGGGAUGAGCUGUGGGUAGGGGUGAAAGGCUAAACAAACUUGGAAAUAGCUGGUUCUCUCCGAAAACUAUUUAGGUAGUGCCUCAAGUAUCACCAUCGGGGGUAGAGCACUGUUAUGGCUAGGGGGUCAUUGCGACUUACCAAACCAUUGCAAACUCCGAAUACCGAUGAGUGCGAGCUUGGGAGACAGACGUCGGGUGCUAACGUCCGGCGUCAAGAGGGAAACAACCCAGACCGCCAGCUAAGGUCCCAAAGAUUGGCUAAGUGGAAAACGAAGUGGGAAGGCUAAAACAGUCAGGAUGUUGGCUUAGAAGCAGCCAUCAUUUAAAGAAAGCGUAAUAGCUCACUGAUCGAGUCGUCCUGCGCGGAAGAUGUAACGGGGCUAAGCCAGUCACCGAAGCUGCGGAUAU
rnacentral:rRNA from 2 species